rnacentral:tRNA from 1 species
UGUCAAGGGAUGGGAAUCGGACCCACGACCUUCCGCUUACCGGGCAGAUGCCAUGACCACUAGGCUACCCUGGAC